UGCAGCUGUUGGUCCCUGAGCCGUUAGGGGUAUAUAUGAUACACGUGGCACGACCCGAUUGGGUUAAAUUAUUAAAAUUUAAAACAAAAACAAUUAAUGUUUCUGAUUUCUAAUUUAAAAAAUAAAAAAAAAACUAACCGUGAUUAACUAAUAUAACCAAAAAAACCAAUUGUCUAAAACCAAGUUCUAAAACUAAUCUAAAACCAAAAAAUCUCAAAAUUCCAUACCCAGAAAAACGAUCUAAGCUUUCCCCCCUACGAUCGAAGAGACGACCGACCCCAGCACGGAAGAGACGACGACGACUUUGCCUCCACAAUGCUAGCCUUUCGACAACCGGAGGAACAACCACCCGACUACGGUGGUCAUACUAACAUCUUCACUAUUGCAAUACACCAUGGAGGAAGCUGGUUUACUCCAUUCGGCAAUAGAAGAUAUGAAGGAGUUCUACCUUUAGAUUGGAAGGAAGAUUCAGAAGUUGUUAAGCAUGUCCCUGCUACCAC